UUCCAUCUGAAAUUGAAGCAUAUACUAAUUGGAGUGAUACAGAGAAGAUGAGCACGGCCCCUAUGCAAGGAUGACACACAAAUUCAUGAUGUAGUCCAUUUUUUU
ensembl:snRNA U6 U6 spliceosomal RNA